GCUUUCACUAGCUUUCUCUUUGUUCCUAACCUGUAGACUGUAACUAAGUUUGCUUUUUUGCCCCCUAACUCUGCAUACGCACCUAUGAGGCUUCGCCUCUGUGCUGAUGACAUCCCAUAUCUGGUGCUCACCUUUCAGGCUCUCCACACAGACCACCCCUUGUAGUCCUUUUUGCAUUACAGAAAGCAGGCCUCAGGGCAGUAACACAAGAGACAGUGGAGCCAAUUACUGGGCUAAGGAAGCCAAGACACCCCCAGCACCUGUGAAACUGGCAUCCAGACCACAGUAAGAAGGUUAUUUUGAGGCACCAGCCUGCCAUCUUCUCAGUCGGCCAGCUCCCCAGUUAGAGUCUCUUCCUUGCCUCAACACCUCGUCUCUCGGAUUCAUUGACCUGACCUGCAGCAAGCAGAAGGAGCUUGGACUCGGUAACAAUCUUUCCAGGUUUAAUAAAUAAGACCUUACUAAUCUCUUGCAAGAAAAUAACUGGACAUGAAGAAACUUCCAGCAGGAAACAUGCCUCUUCAAAAUGCAAAUUUCUGAGCCCAGAUGAAAGAAAGCCAGCUCCUUGGAAGCCAUCAGCUACUUUCUGCCCAGUAAGCACCGAGGAGCUAGGGGGAAGUGAGAGACAGCCAUUCCCUCAUGCGCCUUCUAUUAGGGGCGCUGCGUCUGGACAUCUGUUCCCACCCGCCCUUGGACCACCUCGAGAACCAGCGCUUCAUCCAGGAUACUGGGCACCUCCUGUGCCAGGCUCGGGGCCGUGAAGAUGUUUGGUUUUCCCUGAGAUGUUUUCUCCUGAGGCUUUAGAG
ensembl:lncRNA